GCGAGUGAAGCGGCAAAAGCUCAAAUUUGAAAUCUGGCACCUUCGGUGUCCGAGUUGUAAUUUGAAGAAGGUAACUUUGGAGUUGGCUCUUGUCUAUGUUCCUUGGAACAGGACGUCACAGAGGGUGAGAAUCCCGUGCGAUGAGAUGCCCAAUUCUAUGUAAAGUGCUUUCGAAGAGUCGAGUUGUUUGGGAAUGCAGCUCUAAGUGGGUGGUAAAUUCCAUCUAAAGCUAAAUAUUGGCGAGAGACCGAUAGCGAACAAGUACAGUGAUGGAAAGAUGAAAAGAACUUUGAAAAGAGAGUGAAAAAGUACGUGAAAUUGUUGAAAGGGAAGGGCUUGAGAUCAGACUUGGUAUUUUGCGAUCCUUUCCUUCUUGGUUGGGUUCCUCGCAGCUUACUGGGCCAGCAUCGGUUUGGAUGGUAGGAUAAUGACUAAGGAAUGUGGCUCUACUUCGGUGGAGUGUUAUAGCCUUGGUUGAUACUGCCUGUCUAGACCGAGGACUGCGUCUUUUGACUAGGAUGUUGGCAUAAUGAUCUUAAGCCA
rnacentral:rRNA from 1 species